rnacentral:rRNA from 1 species
UAGGGAAUAUUGGGCAAUGGGCGCAAGCCUGACCCAGCAACGCCGCGUGAGGGAAGAAGGUUUUCGGAUUGUAAACCUCUGUCCUAUGUGACGAAGGAAGUGACGGUAGCAUAGGAGGAAGCCCCGGCUAACUACGUGCCAGCAGCCGCGGUAAUACGUAGGGGGCGAGCGUUGUCCGGAAUUACUGGGCGUAAAGGGUGCGUAGGCGGUUAAUUAAGUUAGAUGUGAAAUACCCGGGCUUAACUUGGGGGGUGCAUCUAAUACUGGUAAACUAGAGUACAGGAGAGGAAAGCGGAAUUCCUAGUGUAGCGGUGAAAUGCAUAGAUAUUAGGAGGAACACCAGUGGCGAAGGCGGAUUGCUGGACGAUAACUGACGGUGAGGCGCGAAAGCGUGGGGAGCAAACAGGAUUAGAUACCCUGGUAGU